UCCUGGUUAGCUCAGUUGGUAGAGUGGUCCAUUGGAAAUGGAGAGGUUCCGGUUUCGGUACCUCGAUCAGGUG
rnacentral:tRNA from 1 species